UCACAAAAAAAAUCUCAUAAUGUUUUAAGAAAGUUUAAGAAUUUGUGUUGGGCCAGAUUCAAAACCGUCCUGAGACUCAUUCAAAGCCAUCGUGGGCCACAGGCGGCCUGCAGACCACAGGUUGGACAAGCUUGAACUAAGGCCUCACAACAACCCUGUGAAUGAAUUUGGAAAUGGAUCCUUCUGCUCCAGUGGAGCCUUGACGUGACCGUGGCCCUGGCCCACAGCUUGACUGCACCUGGAUUCCUGUGCGAUAACAAAUGUUUGUUGUUUUAGCCCCUAGGUUUAGGGUAAUGGGUUAGGCAGUAACAGAUAACAAAUACAUUGCCCUAAGAAAGAGAUUGCUGUGAGGAUGGAGUAACAUGUAUAGUGCCCGCACAUAGUAGGUGCUAAUUCAUUGCUUGCCUAAUGAGUCAGUCAAUAAGCAAAUGAAUAUUCUUUAACACGGAAUGUUCUCUAAAUCCAAAUGCUCACUCCCUUCCACCCACUCCUGUCAAAAACGUCACUGAAAGUUGUUUUAAGCGGAGAAUGGCUGGGUCAGAUUUGUUUUUCUGUAACGGGAGAUUGGUUUGUAUCCCAUGGGUGUGGCCGGUUCAGCUGUGGUCUGGGUGAAGACAGAUUUAAAAAUAACAAUCCUUUGUCAGUUCAGAGAGGACUUUAGUAUAACUUAGAUCUCAUAGCAGGCAAGUACUCUGGAUGUGGAAAUGAACAUGAUCUACAUCAAAUUUCAAGACAGAAGGGAGGAGAUGAGGAGACAGAGGUUCCAAGAGGCAGAAGCAAUCAUGCAGUGACAGAGUGGGGAAGUGACAGAGCUGGGAAAUGAGAUUUGGGGCAGGGAGGGGAGUCCUCAUUCCAGAGCCCAGGGAAUUUCCUUCCCUACGUCUGGACUGUUAUGCACUUGCAAUUCAGAGUACCGACUCUGCACCAGACAUCCUGCUAGGUGCUAGUGCUGGGAGGCACAGUGAAUGGGCCAGGCCUGGCCUCUGCGUGAGCCACAGUCUACCAGAAGACCCUGAAGUGCUGAGAAUACUCAUCAGAGGCCAAAUGAAAGACUUCUUUUUGCCUCCACUCACCUACUCCCAGCCCUACCACCUGCCAGCUGUGUGACCUUGGACAAUUACCUUCCCUCUCUGCUUUAGUCCCAUGACAAUAAAAUGGCAGAAAUAUUAAUGUCUA